rnacentral:sRNA from 1 species
GCCAUCUUCAAGGCUCCGCCAACAGCUCCGUCCAAAGCAGGAAGCAGCACUGGCUCUUAGACGCCCCGAGCCGGGAUUUUAUGUGCGAGUCACUCGCGCGCACUCCGCGCAGCUACGGGUCGGGAGGAAGGCCAAAAAGUGUUGGGUGCAUGACGACGCGGGCUGUGUACUUCCUGGUUUUCUUUGCUGCGUGGCUCUCGGCUGCUUAUUAAUAGGCAAAAUUUCAAAGCCUGGCGUGAUAGCACGCAUCAUUAAUCUCGGGAGGCAGAGGCUGGAGGAUCUCUGUGAGUUUAGGGGAAGCCCGGUCUACACUAGGAGCUCCAUAACAGCCGGAGUAAGAAGGUCGGAGGAGGAUCUGGAGUCAGACCACGUUUCAAACAAACACCUUUAAACAAACAACACACAAGGAAACCAGAGAGCAAUGCACCAAAGAACUUCUGGUGGUAUUCCAACUGCUUCUUCCUGCUUCUGAGGACUUGUACUCAUAGGUGGGGGCCUGAUGGUUUCUACUGGAUCUAGCCAUUCCUACUGAUUCGUGUUUGAUGUUUGGUGAGUAUACUGGACUGCUGCUGCUGAUUUGGUGUUUUGUUAGUGGAUGGGACUGCUGGCAAUGAAGAUUUGAAUUGCUCCAAAGAACCAUUUCUAAGCAUGUUCCCAACCCCUAUUUCCUAUUAACGUUUCUUUCUCCCUACUUCUGGUGGGUGGUGGGCUAGAAGAGAGUUUGAAGCCUUAAAGUAGGUUUUGAAAUCUCCAAGCCUAGACAUUCUUUUCAAGAUCUUUUUGUUUUGGUUGUUGUUGUUAGUUUGUUUGCUUUAAGAUGGGGUUUCUCUGUGUAGCCUUGGCUGU